rnacentral:lncRNA from 1 species
GUGCCUCUUGUGACUGAGGGACCCAGGCACUACAACAAUGAGAAAACCAGGACAUAUGUUAUUAAACUCCCAAAGUACAUCUUUUGAGCUGAAAGAAGAAUUUCCCAAUGAAUUAAAUAUGAGAACUCUUUUUAUUUCUCAUAAUGCCCUCUCAUGACGUCUUCUUGGAGACUUCAUGAAGACUUCAUGAAGAGAAGAGGUCUUCUCAUGAAGACCUCUCAAAAUAUGUAUUUCCUAGAACAGAGUUUAGGGUCAUGGUGACCAACAUAUAUUUUCAUAAUAACUUUGGAUGAUAGGAAUAACAAUGUUAAAAACCUUGUAAGGCAUCCACAAAGAAAUAAAGAACUAACUACAAUGGAGCAAAUAAUCAGGAUGACCUAGGCUUAUCCUUUACAACAUCAGGUGCCAAAAGGAACUGGGAACGAUGCCAGAUUUUUGAGAGGAAAAUGUGGUAAUCCAACAAUUCAGUCUUACGCCGAAUUAUAUUUUAUGUGUUAGAGCAUCUGACAACUACUCUCAGAAUAGGAAAAAGUUUAUGUACUACUUAAAAAAAUUCUUGAAGACAUACUCCAAAAGAUCAAGAAAUGAAAAAUUAGAAUUAAAAAUCCCAAAGUCAGAGUAAUGCUUCAACAAUAUUCUGUAAAACUCCAUUACUACAAAACACCCUUAUGCCAGACAUAUUACAACACACUUUACAAUACAUUAGUAAACUCACAAAUAAUUAGAGAGAGUCCUCAUAUACUAGGAAAGAAUGAAGAAUAAACUGAAAUCACAAAAGGGUGAACUUAAAUUCAAACACUACUAACUUUACGGCAAAACUGAUUCAAGGAACUAGAAAUCUAGAAUAAAAAAUAAUCUCAUACAAUUCAAUAACAAUAGCAACAGCAACAACAACAACAAAAAGCAACCCAAUUGAAAAACAGGAGUUCCUGUCGUGGCGCAGUGGUUAACGAAUCCGACUAGGAACCAUGAGGUUGCGGGUUCGGUCCAUGCCCUUGCUCAGUGGGUUAACGAUCCGGCGUUGCCCUACUGAAUUUAGAAUAAUCUACUAUUGAAGUUGUUAAAAAAAAAAAAAUCAUGGAGAAACACCUAACCAAACUCUCUCAACACACAAAAUACUCUAAAGUUAUGAAAGCUUGUCUAGUUAUUUACACUGAUGAUGGUAUGAAAGAAAAGUAUACCCAAUUAGAAGUGAAAGUACUUUUAUGUUAAUAAUUUUAGUAUAACAAAUAAGACAAAAUAAAAUAAAUAUUACACUCAACUCCAAAAGUUAAAUGUUUAAUAAGAUUUGUAAUUGAAAGAAUAAGAAUUGUGAAAGAACUUACAUAUUCUGUAUCAAUAACUCCAGAAUAUUUAGUCUUGUUGCUAACUUAACUGUAUGCACAAGAAAUCAUUUGCUCUUCAAACACUAUUUAAGAAAAUCAGUAAUUUUUAUUUUUGUCACAUUUUCCCAAGAUUUUCAAAGAAAUAUUCUGUUAGUAAGGGAUCAUUCUAAAUAUAUUGUUUGGAAAUGAACUUUCAUGUCCUUUGACGUAUAAGCCAAAAAAAAAAAAAAAGUUCCAGAAUAAAUGUCAUUAUAUGCCGAGAAUUCUAAAUCAUAUGUAUUCACAAUACUAUACAUAAACAUUACUGUUAUCCUUAAUUUUUUUCAGAGGGAAAUGAUACAUAAAGGAAUUGAAUAAAUUUUGCAAUCAUAUAGCUUGUAAGGGUGGAACUAGGCUAAAAACUCAGAUAGUUUAUCUCUAGAACACACACUCUAAAUCAUAAUAAAACACUGCUUUGCAGAAGUAUGAGUAAAAAUCAACUAGAAAUAAAGAGUUUUAGAAAACUUAAAUAUUGCAUGACCUAGAAGAAACUUUUAGUAUUUGAACUGAUAGAUUAUGAGAUCAAUUAACUUGUGGCUUUUGUAAUGCAGGAUGUUAGCUUCCACAGUGGUAAGUUAAUAUGAUAUCAAUAAAAUUUCCCACAUGUAAAAUUUACAUUUCUAAACUUUAAGUGACUUUAAAAAUAACAGAAAUCAACCACAGGAAAAGAAGUGAAAAAAAACCUACUACAUGGAGACUAAACAACAUGCUACUAAAAAACUAGUGGGUCAAUGAGGAAAUCAAGAAGGAAAUUAAAAAAUACUUCGAGACAAAUGAUAAUGAAGACACAACCACUCAAAAUCAAUGAGAUGCUGCAAAAGCAGUGCUCAGAAGGAAGUUCAUAGCAAUACAGGCCUUCCUCAAAAAAGAAGAAAAAUCUCAAAUUGACAACUUAACCCAUCACCUAAAUGAAUUAGAAAAAGAACAAGCAAAACCUAAAGUCAACAGAAGGAAGGAAAUCGUAAAGAUCAAAGAGGAAAUCAAUAAAAUAGAGAUUCAAAAAACAACAGACAUUGCCAAAUUCAUUGAUGAGCUCUAACAGUUUUCUGGUAGAGUCUUUAGGAUUCUCUAGGUAUAGUAUCAUGUCACCUGCAAAUAGCAAUAGUAUUACUUCUUCCCUUCCAAUUUGAAAACCUUCUAUCUCUUUUACAUCUUUGACUGCUGUAGCUAGGAAUUCCAAAAUUAUAUUGAAUAGUAGUGAGAGAGGACAUCCUUAUCUUGUUCCUGAUCUCAGCGGGAAUUCUUUCAGCUUUUCACCAUUGAGAAUGAUGUUAGCUGCGGGUUUGUCAUAUAUGGCCUUUAUGAUAUUGAGGUAGGUUCCCUCUAUGCCCACUUUCUGAAGGGUUUUUUAUCAGAAAUGGGUAUUGGAUUUUGUCAAAGGCUUUUUCUGCAUCUAUUGAGAGGAUCAUAUGGUUUUUAUUCUUCAGUUUGUUAAUGUUGUGUAUCACACUGAUGGAUUUGCAGAUACUGAAGAAGCCUUGCAUCCCUGGGAUAAAUCCCACUCAAUCAUGACGUACAAUACUUUUAAAGUAUUGUUGGAUGAGGUUUUGCUAGUAUUUUGUUGAGGAUUUUUGCAUCUAUGUUCAUCACUGAAAUAUGCCUGUAGUUUUCUUUUUUUGUGGUAUCUUUGUCUAGUUUUGGUAUCAGGGUGAUGGUGGCCUCAUAGAAUGAGUUUGGGAGUAUUUCUUCCUCUGCAAUUUUUUGAAAUAGUUUCAGAAGGAUAGGUAUUAGCUCUUCUCCAAAUUUUUGAUAGAAUUCACCUGUGAAGCCAUCUGGUCCUGGACUUUUGUUUGUUGGAAGUUUUUAAAUCACAGUUUCAAUUUCAGUUCUUAUGAUUGGUCCAUUCAUUUUUUCUAUUUCAUCUUGGUUUAGUCUUGGAAGAUUGUACCUUUCUAAGAAUUUGUCCAUUUCUUCUAGGUUUUCCAUUUUAUUGGCAUAUAACUGCUACAGUAGUCUCUUAUGAACCUUGGUAUUUCUGUGGUGUCUGUUGUUACUUCUCCUUUUUCAUUUCUAAUUUUAUUGAUUUGAGUCCUCUCUCUUUAUUUCUUGAUAAGUCUGGCUAAGGGUUUAUCAAUUUUGUUGAUCUUUUCAAAGAACCAGCUUUUCAUUUAAUUGAUCUUUUCUAUGGUUUUCUUCCUUUCUAUUUUAUUGAUUUCUUCUCUGAUCUUUAUGAUAUCUUUCCCUCUACUAACUUUAGGUUUUGUCUGUUCUUCUCUCUUGAGCUGCUUUAGAUGUUAAGUUAGCUCGUUUAUUUGAGCUUUUUCUUGUUUCCUGAGGUGGGCUUGUAUUGCUAUAAACUUUCCUCUUAAAUCGGCUUUUGUUACAUCCCAUAGGUUUUGGAGUGUUGUAUCUUUGUUGUCAUUUG